rnacentral:RNase_P_RNA from 1 species
UCGGGUAAUUCAACUACAGCGCAACUUGCAUCAAGCAAGAGUGAGGAAAGUCCGGACUUCAUAGAGCAGAAUGCUGGCUAACGGCCAGGCGGGGUAACUCGACGGAAAGUGCAACAGAAAACAAACAGCCUAAGUUGCAAAACUGGCAAUGGUGAAAUUGUGAGGUAAGAGCUCACAGAUUGUUCUGGUAACAGACAGUGUGGCAAACCCCAUUCGAAGCAAAGCCAAAUAGGGGUGGAGAGCUUGCUCGGCUCAUUUAACAUCCGGGUUGGCUGCAAGGAUUGUUAUGGUAACGUAACAGCAAGAGAAAUUGUAGUUUUAAACAGAAUCCGGCUUAUGGAUUGCCCGAAUUU